rnacentral:lncRNA from 1 species
GAACGCCAAUUCUGAAUAUGAUUCUUUAUGUGAUGAUGGCGAUUUUUGAAUCUUUUGAUCAAAUUCCUUUAUCCUUUUCAGCUGGUGACGGGGUCUCUGAGAUUUUUCUUCUACUUUCCUUUCUAUUAUUUGAUUUAUCUGGUAUUGAUCACGAAAAUAAGAAUUGGACUAUGAUUUGUUUAUCUGCAGUGGUGUAACACGUCUCUAUACUUCUUCCUUUUAUUAAGAGCUUAGUUCGUUUUCUUGAAUUUUUGGGUUGUACAGGGAAGACACACAAUGGAUGUGAAAUGAAGAUUAUGUUUUGUUACCCUUAACUUUUUUAUGGGUUUAUUCGUGACUGAUCAUUUGAUUUCGUAGUCUAACUUUGUGUUUAUGUUCACUCCCCUUCAGCAAUUGGAGUUUCUGAGAUUUGAAACCCUAAAAAGUUUAAAACGGUUGCAGCUCAGGAUAUCCCAAUUCUCUCUAUCUAUUGUUUAAUUUCUCUCUACUUGAUCUCCAAGGAUUGAAUUGUGUUCGACGUUUGAAUUAUUUUCCCUUAAUGUCCUGCAACAUCUCAUGGAGUAUGUUAUGAGGCCCCAAGGAUUGAAUUGGUGUUUGAAUUAUUUUCGCUUAAUGUCCUGCAGAGUAUGUUAUGAGACAUAAGGGUUGAAUUGUGAUUUGUUUCCUGUUUGGAUGAUUUGCACAGUGUCCUGCAUCUUAUAGAAUAUGAAUGACUUGGUUUUCGCACGGUUCUCGCGAGUAUGUUAUGGCCACCAUUCUUCCUUGGUUUUUUAAGUCUUCAAUUUAUCUUAUCAUUCUAUACUUCGUCCUCGAUUACCAGUUAUACUUUCUUCAAUUAUUGUUCUUUACAGGGGUGUGGGGGUAGGACAGGGAUCAAGUUCCUAUAACUAGUAAAUUCAUUUACGUGAAUUUUGAGUAUAAUUCUCUAUUUGAGUAUGAUGAGUUUUAUACCUUAUUGCUUAAAUUUCUUUUCAGCUGGUGGCUGGUUUUUUGGCAUUUCUUUUGCCUAUAGAUGAUAUGGAAAGCACACCGACCAAGGGCUCGACAUAACCUUAAGUCUUUUUUGAGUUUCCCUUAUAUUUUUUUUUAUGGUAUUACAAAAGGAUUGAACUAUGAUUUGUUUAUCUGCAGUGGUGUUUGGAUUAGUUGGGUAAUGUCACAUAUUCAACUUAUAAAGUUUCUGUAAUUAGUAAAUUCAUUUAGGUGAAUUCUGAGUACAAUUUUCUAUUUGAAGAUGACGAAUUUUAAACCUUUUGCAUAAAUUUCUUUGCACCUUUUCAGUUGGUGGCUGGUUCUCUGGCAUUUCUUUUGCCUAUGGAUGAUAUGAAAAGCACAAUAACCAAGGGGCUCGUCAUAACCUAAGUCUUUUUUGAGUUUUCCUUCUUUUUUUCUUUUUUCCUGGUAUUGUUCACAGUACAUAAGGAUUAAACUAUGGUUUGUUUAUUUGCAGUGGUGUUUGGAUUAGAUGGGUAACAACGCAUAUUCAUCGUAUCAAGUUUCUAUAACUAGUAAAUUCAUUUACGUCAAUUUUGACUAUAAUUUUCUAUUUGAGUAUGACGAGGAAAAUUACUUCAAUUUCUUUUCAUUUGACCAAGGGCUCAACAUAACCUUAAAUCUUUUUUGAGUUUCCCUUAUAUUUUUUUUAUGGUAUUACAUAAGGAUUGAACUAUGAUUUGUUUAUCUGCAGUGGUGUUUAGAUUAGUUGGGUAACGUGCAGAUUCAUUUUAUCAAGUUUCUAUAACUAGUAAAUUCAUUUACGUGAAUUUUGAGUAUAAUUAUCUAUUUGAGUAUGAUGAGUUUUAAACCUGUUGCGUAAAUUUCUUUUCAGCUGGUAGCUGGUUUUUUGGCAUUUCUGUUGCUUAUGGAUGAUAUGAAAAGCACAACAACCAAGGGCUAGACAUAACCUUAAGUCUUUUUUGAGUUUCCCUUCUAUUAUUUUUUUAUGGUUCUACAUAAGGAUUGAACUAUGAUUUGUUUAUCUGCAGUGGUGUUUUGGAUUAGUUGGGUAAAUUUCUUUGCUCCUUUUCAGCUGGAGUUCUCUGGCAUUUCUUUCUCCUAUGGAUGAUAUGAAAAGCAGAAGGACCAAGGGCCUCGACAUAACCUAUUUUUCUGCUACGGACUAUGAUUUGUUUAUCUGCAGUGGUGUAACACGUUUCUAUACUUCUUCCUUUUAUUAAGAGCUUAGUUCGUUUUCUUGAUUUUUUUGCUGUAUAGGUAGUUCGUUUUCUUGAAUUUUUGGGCUAUACAGGGAAGGCACGGAAUGGAUGUGAAAUGAAGUAUUAUGUUUUGUUACCUUUAAGUCUUUUUUGAGUUUCCCUUCUAUUAUUUUUUUAUGGUUUUACAUAAGGAUUGAACUAUGAUUUGUUUAUCUGCAGUGGUGUUUUGGAUUAGUUGGGUAACGUUGCAUAUUCUUCUUAUCAAGUUUCUAUAAUUAGUAAAUUCAUUUAGGUCUAUAUGAGGAUGACGAGUUUUGAACCUUCUGCGUAAAUUUCUUUGCACCUUUUCAGCUGGAGUUCUCUGGCAUUUAUUUCUCCUAUGGAUGAUAUGAAAAGCAGAAGGAUCAAGGGGCUCGACAUAACCUAAGUCUUUUUUGAGUUUUAUUUCUUCUUUUUUUUCCUGGUAUUUAUGACAGUACAUAAGGAUUGAACUAUGAUUUGUUUAUCUGCAGUGGUGUUUGGAUUAGUUGGAUAACGACGCAUAUUCAUCUUACAAGUUUCUAUAACUAGUAAAUUCAUUUACGUGAAUUUUGAGUAUAAUUCUCUAUUUGAGUGUGACGAGUUUUAAACCUUUUGCCUAUCUGGUAUUGAUCACGAAAAUAAGGAUUGGACUAUGAUUUGUUUAUCUGCAGUGGUGUAACACGUCUCUAUACUUCUUCCUUUUAUUAAGAGCUUAGUUCGUUUUCUUGAAUUUUUGGGUUGUACAGGGAAGACACACAAUGGAUGUGAAAUGAAGAUUAUGUUUUGUUACCCUUAACUUUUUUAUGGGUUUAUUCGUGACUGAUCAUUUGAUUUCGUAGUCUAACUUUGUGUUUAUGUUCACUCCCCUUCAGCAAUUGGAGUUUCUGAGAUUUGAAACCCUAAAAAGUUUAAAACGGUUGCAGCUCAGGAUAUCCCAAUUCUCUCUAUCUAUUGUUUAAUUUCUCUCUACUUGAUCUCCAAGGAUUGAAUUGUGCUCGACUAUUUUACCUUAAAGUCCUGCAGCAUCUCAUGGAGUGUGUUAUGAGGCCCUAAGGGUUGAAUUGGUGUUUGAAUUAUUUUCGCCUAAUGUCCUGCAGAGUAUGUUAUGAGAUUUAAGGGUUGAAUUGUGAUUUGUUUCCUGUUUGGAUGAUUUGCAUAGUGUCCUGCAUCCUAUGGAAUAUGUAUGGUUUUCGCACGGUCAUCGCGAGUAUGUUAUGGCCACCAUCUUCCUUGGUUAUUUAAGUCUUCAAUUUAUCUUAUCGUUCUAUAGUUCAUCCUUGAUUACCAGUUAUACUUUGUUGAAUUAUUGUUCUUCACAGGGAUGUGUGGGGGUAGGACAGGGAUGUGUGGGUAGGACUUUCCUCGUGGUUGGUUGAAAAUGAUGGAUGAGUCAUGCUUGACGGUAUGAAAAACACAAUGACAAAGGGCUCGACAUAACCUAAGUCUUUUUUGAGUUUUCCUUAUAUUUUUUCUUUUUCCUGUUAUUGAUCACAGUACAUAAGGAUAUGAUUUGUUUAUCUGCAGUGGUGUUUGGAUUGGUUACGAUGCAUAUUCAUCUUACAAGUGGUGGCUGGUUUUUUGGCAUUUCUUUUACCUAUGGAUUAUAUGAAAAGCACAACGACCAAGCAUUUCUAUUAUUUUUAUGGUAUUACAUAAGGAUUGAACUAUGAUUUGUUUAUAUGCAGUGGUGUUUGGAUUAGUUGUGUAACGUCUAUGUUCAUCGAAUCAAGUUUCUGUAAUUAGUAAAUUCAUUUAGGUGAAUUCUGAGUAUAAUUCUCUAUUUGAGGAUGACGAGUUUUAUCCUUUUGCAUAAAUUUCUUCUCACCUUUUCAGUUGGUGGCUGGUUCUCUGGCAUUUCUUUUGGCUAUGGAUGAUAUGAAAAGCACAACGACCAAGGGGCUCGACAUAACCUUCAAGUCUUUUUUGAGUUUUCCUUCUAUUUUUCUUUAUCCCGGUAUUGAUCACAAUACAUAAGGAUAUGAUUUGUUUAUCUGCAGUGGUGCUUGGAUUAGUUGGGUAACGUAGCAUAUUCAUCUUAUCAAAUUUCUAUAAUUAGUAAAUUCAUUUAGGUGAAUUCUGAGUAUAAUUCUCUAUUUGAGGAUGAAGAGUUUUGAACCUUUCGCAUAAAUUUUUUUUCACCUUUUCAGCUGGUGGCUGGUUCUCUGGCUUUUUUUUUGCCUAUGGUGAUAUGAAGAGAACAACGACCAAGGGCUCAACAUAACCUAAGUCUUUUUUUAGUUUUGCUUCUAUUAUUUAUAUUUUCUGGUAUUGAUCACCUACCACAAGGAUUGUAAUAUGUUUUUUUUUAUCUGCAGUGGUGUUUGUGUAACGUCGCAUAUUCAUCUUAUCAACUUUCUAUACUUCCUCCCUCUUAUUAGCGAUUAUCUUUUCCUUCAAUUUUUGGACUGUACAGGGUUUAUCGUUUCCUUCAGUUAAAUUCGGUUUUCGUGUUCAUUCCUUUUCAGCAAGUCCCGAGUCUGAGAUUUCUUUUGGCGGUUGAGGAACUAGAGUUUAGAAUGGUUGCACAUCAGGAUAUCCUAAUUUCUCAAUGAGUGUAUCCUCUAUUAUUUUAUUUAAUCUCAGCAGCGGUGUUUAGAUGAUUUUUGCUUAUUGUACUUCAUCUCAUGAGUGUGUUAGGAGGGCGACAGUGUCUCCCUUAAUUUUUUGAUUUAUCUAAUCAUCCGUUAUAGAUUUGUUGUAUUAUUGUUCUUUAGGGAUGUGUGGGCUUAUAGUUUUGUUGAAUUAUUGUUCUUUACAGGGAUGUGUUGGGUAGGACGUGGAAACCAUGUCGGGAUAUUUCUUGAACUGUGAAUCAUUCGUUUUUUUUCCUACUCUUACACUAGUUUUUUCUAUUGCAUUAGUUUGUAUUUGGCCAACCUUGUUGGUUCGAUUUUUAUUUUUUCUUCUUAGGCAUAACCAAAUAAAUAUUGGAGGGCUAAUGAAUGUCCUAUUUUAACAUAUGAUCACGACAAAUGGUCUCUUGGCAGCUUGAUUUUAUGAUCCGUGUCUCUAUGCACUGUGACCUUAGGCACUUUGGUGGUCUCAGGCCUAGAUAAAUUGAAAAGAAGUAUCUUGGAGUCAUUCCCUUCAUUUUAGUAGUGGUAAUUAGCAAGAGCUCAGGACUAUUUGGCUCCAAUUUUUUUAUUACAAAACUUUAUUUUGUCUUAGUUUUCUUUUUUUGACAAAUGAAUUUUCGGAAACAGUGAAUGGAGGUCCAGUGAAACUUUAGGUUUUAUUAUCUUUGCAUUCAUUAUUAUUUUCUUUGCGGUUAUUCUUUUGGCUAACCUUGUGGCUAAACAUGUAGAGUGGCAGUUCUUGUAAACAGGCACUAUAUGAGUAUGAUAGGCUUUGACAUUUGUUUUGUUGUGCCUUCGAUUAUCUUCUUCUACUUGGGUUGCAGUGACUUACUAUGAGCGGUUCCCAUGGUUUUCAAUUUUUGAAUUUACCUUAACUUUUCUUUACUCUGUCAUGUCAUGCUUUUAAGAAAAUUAGUUUUCUCAAAUCCCCAUGCUUCUGGUUGAGCUUUUACAGGAAAACUAUAGAUAUAUGGGGCAGGUUUCGGAAAUAAUUAUUGGACUUUACAGGGAAUUCAUGGGCUACCCAAAAUGAGGUGUGAAUUAUGUGAUAUGUGAAGCUCAAUGUUUUUAUUAACGGUACAUUGUAGUAUCUGAAUUAAUUUUUAACUGGCUCAACUUGUUGGUUUGAUUAUAAUCUUGGUUGUAUUUUGAUGGUGUAUGGUUCAUAAGUGGCAUUGUGAGCAUGGGACAAGUGCGGUUGGACUUUAUUUUUUGAUUUGAUAGUUUGCUUCUUGGUUUGAAAAGUUUAGGAUUUAGGGUUUAUUUGACGCCUUUUGGAUAAUCCUCUGAUAUAGGUCUUUGGCUCUUUAUUAGUUUUCCAAACCUUUGAUUCAUUAUUCUUGAUGAGUAAGCAUAUGGGUUGAGUUGUUGAGGUAUGAAUUUGUUUGAAAUUGUUUCAUGUCCCUGGAGUCUUAUUUUGACUGACAGCAAUGUCUCUUACUAUGAAUGACAGUAAUCUCUGAGCCUAUUAUGUGUAUGGAAAUUUUUGAAGUCAGUAUAAUAAUAUCUCACAACUUUGGUCACAUUUCUAUUUUACAUAUAAAUUAUUAACAAAGGGAGGAGAUAAAACAAGUUGUUAUGUAGUAGUAGAAUCUAUUUCUCUUUGAAAUUAUUGUUAAGGACCUACGAGUCAAGUUUUUAUAUUUAAUUUUUUUCCUAUACCAGUCAAUGAUAUAACUCAGCCGUGAAUCUUGAUCAUUCCUUUCUAUAUAUAUACCCAAUAUCUGUUUUGUUGGUAUUGCUUCAGUUAUUGUUGUGAUUCUUUACAAGGUUUUGUGGAAUUACAUGAUGUUUGUGUCGUGGGAUAGAAGAAUUAUUAAGAAUUAUUAGUAAACCGCUUCAUGAAAUUUGAUAUUAGUUUUUUUUUUUCCUUUUUAAAAUGCAGAGGUUUCAAUAUUCAUCAAAUUAAAUGCAUUAGUCAAAUGUUAAAUGCAAUAGUCACAUGGUUUUUAUAAUAAAAUUUAAAUAUAAUAAUAAUAUUAUAUGUAUAUAUAUAUUAUUUUUUAUUAUUG